rnacentral:lncRNA from 10 species
CAGAUGGGGCCCAUGAGUGAGGAGGACAAGAGAGAAAGGAGAAGUUUGGGUGUAAAUCCCAGAGAUUGUUCAUCAUGUGAGAGGAGCCGUGCAUGCAUUUCAUGCCAUACUCACACCAUGGAUGGAGAAAAAAAAUCAAGCUUCACUUUCUGAGAAUGGCCCUGGGGGCACUGCAUCUAGUGCCUGUGCAUCUGCAGACCUGCCGGAUGCCUCCAGGGGAAUCAUGCCACCCCAAGCAAGAAAGGGCCCAGUUGCCAGGAGCCUGGAGGCAGAGAGCUGAGGAGCCAGCCCCUGACAUCAGAAUGGAGCUCAAAGGUUGGCUGGGUGUGACUCUGCCGUGGACAGCUUCUCUUGGGAAAUCUACUUUAAUGAAUCCAGGGGACCAAUUUGUAAUCAGCCCAUCAGAUGUUCAGCGACACUUAGCUGGAAUCUCGUUGCUGGACUCUGUGCCCCGCAGUGGAUGACAGUUCUCCAUCAGGGUCUGCAGUCCUCUACCCUGGACUUGCUGCAUCCUGGAGCCCCCAGCAGUCAGAUGAGGGAAUGGAACAGUUCGAGGGCUUGCCCAAGGUCACACGGCUAGCAAGUGGGAGGACCACUAUUCACCAGCAGGGAUGCCAUCGACAAGGUUUCCACCCUGAGGUGAACAUAGCCUGGGCUCUGUGGUGUGA